rnacentral:rRNA from 1 species
AUUGAACGCUGGCGGUAGGCCUAACACAUGCAAGUCGAACGGCAGCACAGUAAGAGCUCUCGCUUACGGUUGGCGAGUGGCGGAUGAUGGAUGAAUACGUCGGAAUCUGCGUUGGCGUGGGGGACAACGGAGGGAAUAUUACCCUAAUACCGCUUACGGCCUACGGGUGAAAGCAGGGAACCUUCCGACCUUGCGCGAGCCAAUGAGCCGAUGUCGGAUUAGCUAGUUGGCGGGGUAAAGGCCCACCAAGGCGACGAUCCGUAGCUGGUCUGAGAGGAUGACCAGCCACACUGGAACUGAGACACGGCCCAGACUCCUACGGGAGGCAGCAGUGGGGAAUAUUGGACAAUGGGGGCAAGCCUGAUCCAGCCAUGCCGCGUGGGUGAAGAAGGCCUUCGGGUUGUAAACCGCUUUUGUUCGGGAAGAAAAGCAGCAGGUUAAUACCCCGCUGUGAUGACGGUACCCAAAGAAUAAGCACCGGCUAACUUCGUG